UUGAAAUAAACAUGUGUGCUACAGCGGAUUGGUU
rnacentral:sRNA from 1 species